rnacentral:rRNA from 1 species
GACGUAGGAGGCGAGCGUUGUCCGGAUUCAUUGGGCGUAAAGAGCGCGCAGGCGGCUUGGUAAGUCGGAUGUGAAAACCCGAGGCUCAACCUCGGGCGUGCAUCCGAUACUGCUCGGCUAGAGGUAGGUAGGGGAGAUCGGAAUUCCUGGUGUAGCGGUGAAAUGCGUAGAGAUCGGGAGGAACAUCUGUGGCGAAGGCGGCCAUCUGGACCAGCACUGACACUGAGGCACGAAAGCGUGGGGAGCAAACAGG